GGAGAUAAACGGUACCGUAGAUCUGUCACGGUACAGCAGGAGGAGGAGAAGAGAUAAACGGUACCGUAGAUCUGUCACGGUACAGCAGGAGGAGGAGGGAGAUAAACGGUACCGUAGAUCUGUCACGGUACAGCAGCAGGAGGAGGAGGGAGAUAAACGGUACCGUAGAUCUGUCACGGUACAGCAGGAGGAGGAGGGAGAUAAACGGUACCGUAGAUCUGUCAGGGUACAGCAGGAGGAGGAGGGAGAUAAACGGUACCGUAGAUCUGUCAGGGUACAGCAGGAGGAGGAGGGAGAUAAACGGUACCGUAGAUCUGUCAGGGUACAGCAGGAGGAGGAGAAGAGAUAAACGGUACCGUAGAUCUGUCACGGUACAUCAGGAGUGAGAUACAUACAGCCUUAUUAUAAAAUCGAUUAUAUAAAAACAUUUCCUCAUCAAUCUACACACAAUACCCCAUAAUGACAAAACAAAAACAGGUUCUUAGACAUUUUUGCAAUUUUUUUUUUUUUUAAAUGCAGAAAUACCUUAUUUACAUAAGUAAUCAGACCCAAACUGAGCAAACGGGGGAGAAGGGCAGUGGUCAGGGAGGUGACCAAGAACCCAAUGGCCACUCAAUGGGAGCUCCAGAGUUCCUCUGUGGAGAUGGGAGAACCUUCCAGAAGGACAGUCAUCUCUGCAGCACUGCACCAAUCAGGCCUUUUAUGAUAGAGUGGCCAGACGGAAGCCACUCCUCCGUAAAAGGCACAUGACAGCCUGCUUGGAGUUUGCCAAAAGGAACCUNNNNNNNNNNNNNNNNNNNNUUCUCUCUCUUCCUCUCUCUCGCUCCUCUCCCCAUCUCCUCUCUUCUAUCCCUCUUUUUCUCUUCUCCCUCUGUGUCUCUCUCUCGCAUCAGGAGCGACGGAUGUUGGAGCGGCGUCUGGCUGAGCUGGAGGAGGAGUUGAAGGUGCUAGGUGACCUGAGAGCUGACAACCAGCGACUGAAAGACGAGAACGGAGCACUGAUCAGAGUCAUCAGUAAGCUCUCCAAAUAGACGGAGAGAACGAGAGAGAGAGACAACAGGGAAGCCCACUCCCUCCCUCCGUCCAGCCACCCCUCCCACCUCACAUUCCUACCAGUGCCAAAGAAUGAAAGCGAGAGAGAGAGAGAGAAGAGGGGGGGACAAGAAACAAAAAAGAGAAGACGUAUGAGAAUGUGGUACUCUAAACAACACCAUAUCUUGACUUGAUUGUGACGCCUCUUCUUCCUUAGUCCUGACCAAUCGCUGUGGCUUGUUGUGUGUGUCUUAUGCCCACUUUGAAGACAGAACCGUAUCCAUGGCAGGUAGCCAUGACAACUGUGGUCAUGACAACGGCUCGCAUAGUAGCAAAGAGACGUGACAACAGCCAAAUGCCCAUGGGAUUGUGAUGUAAAACAAAACCGAGGAUAUAGACAAUGUGCACAAGGGGGAAAUACUAAUAUGACCACACACAUUCCUUCUUCAGGUGCCAUCCACACACAUUGCACCAGUCCAAGGCAUCUUGGUCCCUUAGCUCUCCCACUUAGUAAUUUAUUUUGUUUUGUGACCACCACAUUCACACACCACCUUUUCCACCAACCCACUCCGCUAUUGUACUAACUAUGGAUCUCAGUCCCUCCCGCUCAAAACUAUCCUACCCCACAAAUACACUCCUUAUGGAGGCUUUCACAUCGACUCCGUCCAGUCCCUGAGCCAUACCUCCCGCUCAAAACUAUCCUACCCCACAAAUGCACUCCUUAUGGAGGCUUUCACAUCGACUCCGUCCAGUCCCUGAGCCAUACCUCCCACUCAAAACUAUCCUACCCCACAAAUACACUCCUUAUGGAGGCUUUCACAUCGACUCCGUCCAGUCCCUGACCCAUACCUCCCACUCAAAACUAUCCUACCCCACAAAUGCACUCCUUAUGGAGGCUUUCACAUCGACUCCGUCCAGUCCCUGAGCCAUACCUCCCACUCAAAACUAUCCUACCCCACAAAUACACUCCUUAUGGAGGCUUUCACAUCGACUCUGUCCAGUCCCUGACCCAUACCUCCCACUCAAAACUAUCCUACCCCACAAAUGCACUCCUUAUGGAGGCUUUCACAUCGACUCUGUCCAGUCCCUGACCCAUACCUCCCACUCAAAACUAUCCUACCCCACAAAUGCACUCCUUAUGGAGGCUUUCACAUCGACUCUGUCCAGUCCCUGACCCAUACCUCCCACUCAAAACUAUCCUACCCCACAAAUACACUCCUUAUGGAGGCUUUCACAUCGACUCCGUCCAGUCCCUGACCCAUACCUCCCACUCAAAACUAUCCUACCCCACAAAUACACUCCUUAUGGAGGCUUUCACAUCGACUCCGUCCAGUCCCUGACCCAUACCAUAGACAUCCAUACAGCUUUCUUUGUGUAACAUCCUAAACUCUAAACAGAAACCAUGACCUUUCUUAACAGUUGGGGGGCCUGUUUUCCCGGACACAGAUAACGCCUAGUCCAAACCUAAUGGAGAUUCUUCUCUCCAUUCAGCCAGGUUUUUAUUUCAGGAUCUUGUCUGUAAAGAAGGAGGGUGAUAUGCACAUCCCACAUUUGUGAAUACCGCUGCUGUGUCCGGAAAAACCAACCCAUUGUGUUUUUGGGGUUGAAAUAUUUUAACUGUUAAACUGGUUACAGUAACAUUUCCACAUUAUUUUCAUUUCACUUUUCUGUGUUCAGUCACUUUCAGACUUCAAACUCUAAAAGACCAACUGGGGGGAAAUCCAAUAGAUUACCCUCUUAAUCUGGUAGUGUCAUUCCACUCCAUGACCCUCUUAAUCUGGUAGUGUCAUUCCACUCCAUGACCCUCUUAAUCUGGUAGUGUCAUUCCACUCCAUGACCCUCUUAAUCUGGUAGUGUCAUUCCACUCCAUGACCCUCUUAAUCUGGUAGUGUCAUUCCACUCCAUGACCCUAGUUAAUCUGGUAGUGUCAUUCCACUCCAUGGCCCUAGUUAAUCUGGUAGUGUCAUUCCACUCCAUGACCCUCUUAAUCUGGUAGUGUCAUUCCACUCCAUGACCCUAGUUAAUCUGGUAGUGUCAUUCCACUCCAUGACUCUAGUUAAUCUGGUAGUGUCAUUCCACUCCAUUACCCUAGUUAAUCUGGUAGUGUCAUUCCAAUCUAUUACCCUCUUAAUCUGGUAGUGUCAUUCCACUCCAUUACCCUCUUAAUCUGGUAGUGUAAUUCCACAUGCGUGUUUUGAACCCACCACAGAUCCACUCUUCCCCUCACACACUACAGUGUUCUGAACCCACCAGAGAUCCACUCUUUCCCUCACUAGUGUUUUUGUUUAGUGGCACACAGAGGCUACGUCCCAAAUGAAACCCUAUCAGUAAAGUAGUGCACUACAUCAGGGCCAUGGUUAAAAGUAGUGCACUAGAUAGGGAAUAGGGUGCUAUAGGCCCUGGUUAAAAGUAGUGCUCUAGAAAGGGAAUAGGGUGCCAUGGGCCCUGGUUAAAAUUAGUGCACUACAUAGGGAGUAGGGUGCCAUUUGGGACACACAGACCCACUCCAUGCUCCUUUAAAUGACCACAGACAGAGCGGUCUGUUGACCACAGCACUUUACUCACCACCAGCCAGGCCAAGCUAAGUGAUCACAGAUCUGCGCCAAGCUAAGCGAUCACAGAUCUGCGCCAGUUCAAGCUAAGCGAUCGCAGAUCUGCGCCAGGCCAAGCUAAGCGAUCGCAGAUCUGCGCCAGGCCAAGCUAAGCGAUCGCAGAUCUGCGCCAGGCCAAGCUAAGCGAUCGCAGAUCUGCGCCAGGCCAAGCUAAGCCCCGUCCUGAUUCAUACUAUACAAAACAGCUCCCCUCAUCCACAAAUCUGCAAUCACAAUAAUCUGUCCUUUCUCCUGAAGUGUGCACUCCUUCACAAAUGUAAAAGCAUUGGAUAGGUGGAGGUAUGGACUAGACUAGAGGACAGGUGGGGGUAUGGACUAGACUAGAGGACAGGUGAGGGUAUGGACUAGACUAGAGGACAGGUGGAGGUAUCGACUAGACUAGAGGACAGGUAGUGGUAUAGACUAGAGGACAGGUAGGGGUAUGGACUGGACUAGAGGACAGGUGGAGGUAUGGACUAGACUAGAGGACAGGUGGCGGUAUGGACUAGACUAGAGGACAGGUGAGGUAUGGACUAGACUAGAGGACAGGUAGGGGUAUGGACUAGACUAGAGGACAGGUGGAGGUAUGGACUAGACUAGAGGACAGGUGGAAGGUAUGGACUAGACUAGAGGACAGGUGGGGGUAUGGACUAGACUAGAGGACAGGUGGAGGUAUGGACUAGACUAGAGGACAGGUGGAGGUAUGGACUAGACUAGAGGACAGGGAGUUCCACCAUGAAUUUGCUUUGAUACCCAAGAAAGGAAGUGAACAAGUGCACACUUUGGUAGAAAGGACAGAUUAUUGGGCCCAGUGCUAAACUCCCUCCUUAGGUUUCUAAGUGGGGAGGGGAGGGGAAGGGAAGGGAUAGCAGGAGGAGAGGUGUAUCACCGCAGAGCUGAGGGUCAAAGGUCAUUGCACAAUAUUAUAGACUUGCUGUUCUGUAAAAGCCUAAUAUGCAAUGCAUUGUUUAUUAUUAUUAUUAUUAUUAUUACCAUAAUAAAAUAUGAUAAAAUAUAUUAUUUUCGUAUUUUUCCAUUUGUCUGAUGUCAAUCUCUCCCGCUUUGCCAGGGAGCCACAAUGUUGGAUUAUGUAUAUUAUAUUAUACAUGUGUAAUAAAUAAGUAAUAUUAGGCUUGAAUGAAUAAUAAUCAUGUUGAGAAAUGAAUCCCAUGUAGUCUUCUUCACCAUGUUGGUCUAAUAAUAUUACAUGGAUGACAGCACCUAAUAAAGCAUGUGUUUGUAUACCUCUGGUCCACUGUCUAUUGCUGUUGAACAUAUGUCUCUAUCUUGUGUUCUGUUUUAAAGGGACAAUCUGGGAUUGGUAAAUAUAUUUUUUUUGGAAUGAUUCUUUAAUUAUAUAAAGCCAUCAAUAGGUCUGUCUAUGAAUUUGAGAGUGGUUACGUUUCUCCAGCGCCGUUCCUU
rnacentral:lncRNA from 8 species